UGGGGAAUAUUGCACAAUGGGCGCAAGCCUGAUGCAGCGACGCCGCGUGAGGGAAGAAGGUUUUCGGAUUGUAAACCUCUGUCUUAUGUGAAGAAAAUGACGGUAGCAUAAGAGGAAGCCACGGCUAACUACGUGCCAGCAGCCGCGGUAAUACGUAGGUGGCAAGCGUUGUCCGGAAUUACUGGGUGUAAAGGGAGCGUAGGCGGGACAGUAAGUAAAGUGUGAAAUCUAUCGGCUCAACCGAUAGGCUGCGCUUUAAACUAUUGUUCUUGAGAGAAGUAGAGGAUGGCGGAAUUCCUAGUGUAGCGGUGAAAUGCGUAGAUAUUAGGAGGAACACCAGUGGCGAAGGCGGCCAUCUGGGCUUUUUCUGACGCUGAGGCUCGAAAGCGUGGGUAGCAAACA
rnacentral:rRNA from 1 species